rnacentral:tRNA from 1 species
GGAAGUGUAGCUCAGUGGUAGAGUGCUUGCCUAGGAAGCAUGAGUCUCUGGGUUUGAUUCCCACCACCA